CUCAGACUCAGGACAGGACAGGAAGGUACAGUAACUGUAUGUCCUGUGUCAGCAGUGUCCAGUCUCUGGAGAUGUGUGUGCUCCCUGAUCUCAGCAGAGAUGGAGGACACCCGCCAGUGGGUAAGGCUGCUACAGGGUCCUGACAGAGGACGACGGGACUGAACUCUCCUGACUCCAUGCUGCUGUUCAUGCUGCACAGAUGAACUAUGGCCUGACAAACAUAAAUCACGUCCACUUCAUACCUAUUGACAGGAACAAAGCGGGACGGAGGCCAAGAGCUGAAUCUCAGUCUGCAGAAACAGCGCCCCCUGUAGG